rnacentral:rRNA from 1 species
GACGAACGCUGGCGGCGUGCUUAACACAUGCAGGUCGAACGGAAAGACCCUGCUUUUGUGGGGUUCUCGUUUGGCGCACGGGUGAGUAACACGUGAGUAACCUGCCCUUGACUUUGGGAUAACUUCAGGAAACUGGGGCUAUUACCGCAUAGGAGCUCUUGCUGCAUGGUGUUGAUUGGAAAGUUUCGGCGGUUGGGGAUGGACUCGCUGCUUAUCAGCUUGUUUGUGUGGUAGUGGCUUACCAAGGCUUUGACGGGUAGCCGGCCUGAGCGGUGGACCGGGCACCUGGCGACUACGGGACGGCGCAGACGCGUACCUGCGGCAGCAGGCGGAAGCAUUACACAACGAGGGGACGCCUGUUACAACAACCCCGGGUGCGGGAUACCCGCCUUCGGGUUAUAAACCGAUUUCGCCUGAAACGAAGCGUGCGUGACGGUAAUGGGUAAAGAAGCACCGGCUAACUACGUG